AAGAAAAAGAAGGAAAAAAAAGUAGGUUCUGGUGAUGUUGGAAAAAUGACGUGUGAGCAGAAGUGCCCGGCGCUGAGCUUCAUCUAUUCUGUCGUGUUAUGACAGAAAUCAUUACAAGUGUGAUGGGUUUAUUUAUAAAGACUGCCUUCAAUAUUCAAAGUACAUCUAUUCUAACAUUCCUCAUUUUGAGCCAGGCUGUGGAUCAAGAUGAAAGAAAAAUUAAAUUGUAUAUUGAAAAGCUGUUAAUUGAGCUGUGCUGUAUUUAACGGGGAAGCCUCGGCUUGAGGCAGUCGAUACGGCCGAGGAUUUUUAAUGUCUUGCGUCGUGAGGCUGUCAGUUUGCUUUGGAGCACACGCCAACAGGCCUCCUGACAAAGCCCCGAAAAUGUGUGUUGUUACUGCCGGGCUCUUGGGAAAGCAAGCGUUGCUUGACCCACCGCUGAAAUCCUGGACACACAUGUUCAUAAAGGAACUCAACACCGCAGUCUCUUGGCAUUGAGUCCCCAAAACCUACUUCCUAAGGCGUCAUCCGGGGACUUGUUUUAAAGGUUUUAGUGAAGGCUCUAUAUAACCUUAUAUAAUGUGAGAUUUCCCCCUUCUUCCCCAGUCAGUGUAGAUUCAUUUGCAUUUUCAGAGGGUGGCCAAAUCAUAGUUCAUCAUCUCUAAUAUCCAUUUAAAAAUGUUAGGUCUACCCAGUUAGAAUUCUCAAAAGUAGCCUAUCACUGGUUUAAUAUGUUAUCUCCAUUCUCUGAGGCGGUGUUAAUUUCCUUUUGUAGUUAAUCUAUCCUACUACCAAAUUUAGUGUAUUUAUCGUUAAAGAUUCUGUUAAGAGCUGUGUGAUUUAAGUACAUCUGGGAUAAAGUGGCCUUGGCUUUAACUAUAGAACAAAUUUUCUUUAUUUCGUUCUCUUCACUGAUAAAUCCAUAGUAACUGAAGGCAUUUCUAGAAUGGUGGGCAAUUUGAGGCUCUAACGUUUGAUUAAAGAUACUUGAGCUCUUCAUACUGAGAGGCUGCAGGGCUGAAAGGCAUUUAUUUGGGGUUCUGAUUCUGGCCCUGGCCUGGCUCCGGGGAAGACGAUGGGGCCCCAUGAGUCCCCCAGUGCUGUCAGUCUCCUCAGAGGGGGUGGGUGGGUAUUCCUUCUCAGGAAGGCCACGAUGGAGCCGCCAGAGUCUUUUCAGGGCCCUUGCCAGGGACUCACACAUCACAAGGAGUCCAUGGACAUGGCUUUGAAGGGCUUCAUUCCUUCAUUUCUCAGAUAUGUGUUCUGAGCACUGCUUUGGUCAGGGUUGGGGGGGGCAGUCUUUGGUAGUGAGGUGACAUGUGAGCAGAAAGGGAGAGAUGCGUGUGGUGCAGCGUAGAACAGAUAGAGGUCCCGUAGGUGAACUGCUUACUAGAGUACCUGGCACCUGGAAAGCGCUUGUGGAUGUCGGCAGUCGCUGCCACCGCCGCUGCCCUUGCGGCAUUGUGAGGUCUUAGGAGGCGCAGAGAGUGGCACCUUGGGAACUUAGAAAAAGUAGGCAGCGAGACUCUGUGCCUUGAACGAGCACACUCCCUCCGGUAUCGACGGGCACGGGAUGAAUAUUUGUAUCUCCCCUGAACUCAUGUGUCGGAGCCCUAGCCCCCCAGGGUGACGGCGUUUGGAGGUGGGGUCUUCGGGAGGUGAUGAGGGUGAGAGGAGGUCAUGAGCGUGCCCACCACGUGACUGGUGUCCUGAGAAGAAGAGGAAGAGAGGGCGCUUCCUCCGCCCAGGCGCUCCCGGAGGAGAGGCCGUGUGAGCUGUUUGCAGGGGGUGGCCGGCUGUGAGCCAGGGAGGGGCGCGCCCUGGGAGCGGGGUCCAUUCCCAUCUUCGUUGCGCACGUCCAUCCUCCAGAACCGGGAGAAGCGUAUCUGCUGGUUAAGCCGCGCAGUCCUCCGGUGUUUUCUUAGAGCCUCGGACAGUGAGACCCCAACACUGUGGGAAAGGGCAUCCAGCAGGAAGACUUCAGAGUGGGUCUGGGUGAUGUUUGAUGGCCGAUGGGGAAAACAGGAACAAGGCUUGGCAGGGCACCGUCCUUGGCGAGGCUCUUCCCGGCAGGGAGAAGGGGACAGAGAAAAGGUGGAGGGACGGAAGUCUGGGGGCAUGGGAGGGGCAUGAGCUCAGUGUCGCAAAACCUGGUUCAAAUCCAAGUUUUGCCGUUGACUGCCGUCUAACCCCGCUGAGCUUGAGUGUACAGUGGCCUUUAGCAGUAGCGUGUGCCAGGUCCCUAGCUGGUGAUCAUGGCAGCUUUGUGUAUUUGACCAUGUUCUCUUUGGGGGGUUUGUUUGGGAAAGAUGGGAGAGGGCAGCCAGCAGGUGGGCAUCCUGCUUGGGAAUCGGGGCUAUGAACGGCCCUUCCUGGCGAGGCACUCAGCAGGGGUACUGACCUUGGUCCAGAGUGGAGCCUCUGGCCACAGCACCGAGAACGGUUCGGCUCUGCUUCGUUGGCCGUCAGACACCAUCACGGGGGGAAGCCUGACUCGCUGGAGAAAGGAGUGUGUUGAUUUCUUCCCCGAGGGCAGAGGUUGGUCACUGCAGGUUGGUAGGAAAAGAUGUCCCCUCAGAGGAAGCCAUCGUGGAGGCAUUCUGAAAGGAUGGGGAUUCGUGGUGGUUUUCCAGGGGGAGGCAGAGGAAUGACCCCGUCCUUGACCCACGUGUGGCUCAUGCUGGAUCCGAGAAAGCCCCAGGAGGCCUGAUGGGCUGACUGGAUUUGCGUUUUGUAAUUGAAAUAUGGGUGAGUCUGCUUGUAACUCUCUCAAGAUGAGGUGGUGAGAAGAGUGAGGUCCAGAUUUUUGCUCCAUGAACAUGGACUAGGUCCAAAAAAGAGGGUGUGCUGCAGAACGAGAGGGGGUGGAGCCAGAAAGGAUGCUAGACUCAGGCUAGAUCUUACAGCCUCCAGCGCCUGCCUGGCCCACCUCUGAUAACUCAGGAGCAGUCCCAUACGUUUGGGGGCAAAACAGAAGGCUUACUUCAUGACAAGGAGGUGGAACUUUUAUAAGGGCUUUUACCAGUUGGGCCGUACUAGGUUGUGCUGCAGUAACAAACAUCCCCAGAUCUCAGUGGCUUUACACAGUGAGUUUAUUUCUCACUCAUGACAGCUGACCAGUAGGAAGAGGGGCUCUGCCUGUUCAAGUCACUCAGGGACCUGGGCUGACCUCGGCACCGUCUCGUACAUGUGCCUCUUGUAUUUCUGGAGAGGGAAGGGGAUGUGGCAAGCAAGUGCCACAUUGUGAAGCUUUCACCCAGAAGUAGUGCUUCCAGCCACAGUUCAUUGGCCAAAAUAAGUCCACAGCCACGCCUGACUUGAGAAGCACGGGAAAGAGCAGUCCUACUGUGUGUCCCCAGAGAAUCGAAGGGCCAGGACAAAUGUGAGCAGUCCUCACGAUAGCCACAGCUUCGAUGGAGAUGGCAUCUAUUUUUAAUGUGGGUUAGAAAAUAAUUGGUUGGAUAUCCAGGUUUUUUUUUUUUUUUUUGUCUUCCUUCUGUCGAGGAUGGAAAAGCACUCACAGAUUAAAAAAGACCUAGCGUAGCAUCUACGUUUUAAACAGUAGGAAAAGAUGACAUUGGGGACCAGCGACACAGAGAUUUCCCUUCUGUGCCAUGACAAAUACCAGGGACACAUAAUUGCAGAAUGAAGCUGCAAAUGUCUCACCCAGGGAACCAGGUAACAACCUGCUUGGCUUCAUAAAGAAGGAAUAAUAUCCAAUUAGACUAAGUGUAUUCGGUGCCUGAGUGACAAGCUCCAGAGACCUCAGGGCCUCUGGGGCCCCCAGGGCAGUUUCAGGAGGCUGUCUGAGACCUGUCCGGGGUGUGAGGGACAGGCCCCACUGCCACAGAGCAGGAGCUGAUCGACGUGUCAUGCUUUGCUCUGAGCCUCCCUUGGCUCUUGUGCUUGCCGAAACUGGUGGCUGGGCUGUCCCCCCCAGUUGUGGCCAGUGGGCUGGGGGGGGGGGCAGCUGGCUGAUCAGAGCCCCCUUGCCUGUCUGCUAUCUUUCAUGCUGACCUCACAGACCCUUGGGUCUCAGGAUCCCUAUCCCUGCCACAGGCUAGUCACCCAAGGUCACUGCUGUUGCUCUUGCCAGAAGCCUCUGAGUGUUUUUGAGUGUUUUCAAGGUCAGACUGAAGGGUUCAUGUCCAGGCCCCGCCAGUCCCUCCCUUUGUGGUCUUUGGCCAGGUGCCAGACCCCUCUGAACUUGUUUCCCCAUCUUUAAAAUGUGGUUCGUAAUUGCUCUUACCUCUUGGGGUCUGUGUCAGGGUUUGAUGACAAGCCCUGCAAAUCACCACGUACUCGGUGCUUGCUGCCAUGAGCCUGUCACUGUCACCUCCACCCAUGACAAAAGUAAUAAAG
rnacentral:lncRNA from 1 species